rnacentral:lncRNA from 13 species
CCUUUACAUUAUUAAUGUAUAAAAUUGGACUGAUAGCGUUAAAACUUUUUUUAUGCUAAGUUUUCUUUUAUUGCAUUUUAGGUUUUGGGGUACAUGUGAAGAACAUGCAAGAUUGUUGCAUAGUUUGCUGAGAAUGAUGUUCUCCAGAUUCAUCCAUGUUGAAGAGAGCCAAAUCAAGAACGAACUGCCAUUCACAAUUGCUACAAAAAGAAUAAAAUACCUCUGAAUACAACUCACAAGGAACGUAAGUGACCUCUUCAAGGAAAACUACAAACCACUGCUCAACGAAAUCAGAGAGGACACAAACAGAUGGAGAAACAUUCCAUGUUCAUGGUUAGGAAGAAUUAAUAUCGUAAAAAUGGCUAUACUGCCCAAAGUUUUUACCACUUUAAAUGUAGCAUUCACUGACAUUAGGUAAAUUUACUUUGUUGUUCAGUCAUCACCACCGUCCCUUUCCAGAACAUUUUCAUUUCCCAAACUGAAAUUUCACAACUAUUAAAUAAUUACUCUGUAUUACCCUUUCCCUCAAGCCCCUUGUAACUUUCUGUCUCUGUGAAUUUGACUACUUUAGGUAACUUUUAUCAGUGGAAAUAGACAAUAUUUGCCAUUUUAUGUCUGGCUUAUUUCACUUAGCAUAGUGUCUCCCUGGUUUAUCCAUGUUGUAGCAUGUGUCUGAAUUUCCUUCCUUAUUAAGGCUGAAUAAUAGCCUAUUGUAUGUAUAGACCACAUUUUGUUUAUCCAUUCCUCCACAGAUGGACAUUUGGGUUGUUUCCACUUUCCCAUUUUCUUUACAGUUGCAUUUUUAUUGAUUGUAUUUAUUUGAUAUUGUUUGAUUCUAUUCACAUACAAUAAAAUUUACUGCUUUUUUAAAGUGUAGCUUUUU